UUCAAGCGAUGGGGUGACGCAGGAAGGUAGCCGUACCAGUCAGUGGUUGUACUGGGGUAAGCCUGUAGGACGACAUCUAGGCAAAUCCGGAUGUCAUAUGUCUGAGAGGUGACGCAUAGCCGAUUGAGGCGAAUUCGGUGAUCCUAUGCUGCCAAGAAAAGCCUCUAGCGAGUGCACACACGGCCCGUACCCCAAACCAACACAGGUGGUCAGGUAGAGAAUACUAAGGCGUACGAGUGAACUAUGGUUAAGGAACUCGGCAAAAUACCCCCGUAACUUCGGGAGAAGGGGGACCCACACACCGUCAACACCCUUGCGGUGGGCAGCGGUAGUGGGUGGCACAAACCAGUGAGAAGCGACUGUUUACUAAAAACACAGGUCCGUGCGAAGUCGCAAGACGAUGUAUACGGACUGACGCCUGCCCGGUGCUGGAAGGUUAAGAGGACCGGUUAGCAGAACUUGUUCUGCGAAGCUGAGAAUUUAAGCCCCAGUAAACGGCGGUGGUAACUAUAACCAUCCUAAGGUAGCGAAAUUCCUUGUCGGGUAAGUUCCGACCUGCACGAAUGGCGUAACGACUUCUCAACUGUCUCAACCAUAGACUCGGCGAAAUUGCACUACGAGUAAAGAUGCUCGUUACGCGCGGCAGGACGAAAAGACCCCGGGACCUUCACUACAACUUGGUAUUGAUGUUCGGUACGGUUUGUGUAGGAUAGGUGGGAGACUGUGAAACUCGCACGCCAGUGUGGGUGGAGUCAUUGUUGAAAUACCACUCUGAUCGUAUUGGACCUCUAACCUCGGACCGUAUAUCCGGUCCAGGAACAGUGCCUGGUGGGUAGUUUAACUGGGGCGGUUGCCUCCUAAAAAGUAACGGAGGCGCCCAAAGGUUCCCUCAACCUGGAUGGCAAUCAGGUGUUGAGUGUAAGUGCACAAGGGAGCUUGACUGCGAGACGUACAUGUCAAGCAGGGACGAAAGUCGGGACUAGUGAUCCGGCACCUCUGAGUGGAAGGGGUGUCGCUCAACGGAUAAAAGGUACCCCGGGGAUAACAGGCUGAUCUUCCCCAAGAGUCCAUAUCGACGGGAUGGCUUGGCACCUCGAUGUCGGCUCGUCGCAUCCUGGGGCUGGAGCAGGUCCCAAGGGUUGGGCUGUUCGCCCAUUAAAGCGGCACGCGAGCUGGGUUUAGAACGUCGUGAGACAGUUCGGUCUCUAUCCGCCGCGCGCGUCAGAAGCUUGAGGAAAGCUGUCCCUAGUACGAGAGGACCGGGACGGACGAACCUCUGGUAUACCAGUUGUCCCACCAGGGGCAUCGCUGGAUGGCUACGUUCGGACAGGAUAACCGCUGAAAGCAUCUAAGCGGGAAACCUUCUCCAAGACCAGGCUUCUCACCCUCUAGGAGGGAUAAGGCCCCCCGCAGACCACGGGAUUGAUAGGC
rnacentral:rRNA from 1 species